rnacentral:lncRNA from 1 species
CCCCCCCCCCCCCGCGCGAGGCUCCGCCCCCGGGGGCGGGACCGCGGCCCUCAGGGAGCCCGGAGCGGGGCGGCGCGCGGCGCCCUCUCCGUCCGGCUUCGCCUGUCCCUCCUUCCCUCUCCGCAUCUCUCCGCCUUUCCUCCCUCUCCGGCAUCGCCUGUCCCUCCUUCCCUCUCCGCAUCUCUCCGCCUUUCCUCCCUCUCCGGCAUCGCCUGUCCCUCCUUCCCUCUCCGCAUCUCUCCGCCUUUCCUCCCUCUCCGGCAUCGCCUGUCCCUCCUUCCCUCUCCGCAUCUCUCCGCCUUUCCUCCCUCUCCGGCAUCGCCUGUCCCUCCUUCCCUCUCCGCAUCUCUCCGCCUUUCCUCCCUCUCCGGCAUCGCCUGUCCCUCCUUCCCUCUCCGCAUCUCUCCGCCUUUCCUCCCUCUCCGGCAUCGCCUGUCCCUCCUUCCCUCUCCGCAUCUCUCCGCCUUUCCUCCCUCUCCGGCAUCGCCUGUCCCUCCUUCCCUCUCCGCAUCUCUCCGCCUUUCCUCCCUCUCCGGCAUCGCCUGUCCCUCCUUCCCUCUCCGCAUCUCUCCCCCUUUCCUCCCUUUCCGGCUUCGCCUGUCCCUCCUUCCCUCUCCCCAUCUCUCCGCCUUUCCUCCCUCCCGGCCUCCCUUCUGUCUCUCCGUCUCUCCCUCCUCCCGUCCCCGCCUCCCUCCCCGCUCCGUUUCCUUCCCUCGCCCUUUCAUCCUCUUUCUCCAUCUCAUUCCCUCUCCCUCCUUUCCCGCCCCGCCCUCCCUCCUUUUCCUCCAUUCCGCUCUCCUCUCUCUCUCUCUCUCUCUCUCUCUCUCCCCCCCUCCUCGCCCCAUGGCCGAUUUUCCGUUGUGCGAGGCGGCGGCAGAGCCGCGCCGGGGCGGGGCGGGGCGGGCCGCUCUGUGAUCCGUGUGUGUGUGUGUGUGUGUGUGUGUGUGUGUCUGUGUCUGUGUCUGUGUCUGUGUCUGUGUCUGUGUCUGUGUCUGUGUCUGUGUCUGUGUCUGUCUGUGUCUGUGUCCCCCCCCCCCCCCCCCCCCCCCCCCCCCCCCCCCCCCCCCCCCCCCCCCCCCCCCCCCCCCCCCCCCCCCCCCCCCCCCCCCCCCCCCCCCCCCCCCCCCCCCCCCCCCCCCCCCCCCCCCCCCCCCCCCCCCCCCCCCCCCCGUGUGUGUGUGUGUGUGUGUGUGUGUGUGUGUUUGUGUUCCCGCAAGGAAAAGGUACCGGCGGCGGGGCCGGGCCGCGGGGCACCGGCUGUCCUGCUGUCUGCUCCCGCACACCACGGACGUGCUGCCAGGCCAGCCUCAGCACUCGGAGAUCGCUAUUGGGGGUAUAGAAACAGUCACACCAGACAAAGACAGGAGUCUGGCUAGUUUCCUUAUGGGCAGUGACUUCAUUUACCUGCUAGUAGCUGCCACAAGGAAGACAACUACCACGGCUUUUUUUUGGAGGAAGAGGGAAGGAGAAUGCAGAGACUUUAACGAUGCUGUGCAGGAAUUUGGCAUGUGGAAAUGAAUUCUGGUAUAUCUUGUUUCGUGACUAAAUUCUUUGUUAUGAGGUCAAUUUUUUUUUUAUUUCCAUGCUAGUGAUCUACACCAAAAGUUCCAAAAUAGCACAGCACAGUGCUCUCUCUAUGACUGAUUCUUUAAUCAGUCUGUAGUUGGCAUAUGACUUGGGAAAUCACAUUUGUCUCUCUAUUUUUUGAAAUGUGAAUCAUUAUCCAGAUAAAUAUAAAAGAUAAAUGUGUAAUAUAUUUUCAUAUUCUGCAUUUCCUUUGAUUUCCUUAAAAUAUUUUGGCAAUGGACUUUAUAAGUUAAUUAAAUUUAAUGGAAAUAAAAUCUUUAAGUACUUUCAUAUCUUGUGAAACUGAGGACAUGGAAAUUCUGGGUUUUUUAACAUUUCAUUUCAAUUACAUUAUAAUUUAUACUUUUGUACUUAUCUAUCAUUAUUGUGGCUGGAUUCUGUACAGAACAAUACACAUCUUAAAGGGAUAGUCAAUAAUCUUGCGGUUCAAAAGAUCAGAUACAUAAAAUAUAAAUGUGUUUUGUGAUUAUAACUUCUGACUAGAUGAUAGCUUCUAUGUCCCUGACUUGCUAUUAUGGUCUGUUUGCACAUAGAAUAAUCAAAGAAAUUUACAGUCAUGGGUUAAACUGUGAUUUAUAAGCUUUUAUGACAAAAGGGGCACAGUAAUACAUAACAUUUCAGGUUCUUUGCAUUUUCUAUUUUAUAUAAAGAUUUUAGAAUUUAAUAGGCUUUUAAAACUGUACUCUUUAUUGGAAUGCAGUAAAUAGUAUUGUAAAUGCAGUAUUAGUUAUUAAAAAUGCAUUCUUGAUUUUUAAAAUUACUCAGAGUUCAGCUACUAAACUUAGUAGAACACAUUUUUGUAUAUACGAAAAAAAAAAGUAGUUAUUUGCAGUUCUAUUUGCAUUAAUUUCAUCCACAGUUCUAUUCUUGGUCUUUUAAGGGAAGUGAGAAGCUUUGUUCCUGUUUCUGUCAGAUCAAGGAGGUAGACUUCAUGUUUUGCUGGGGCAUUUAACAGAAUUAAAUUUCAAACAGCAAAACACACAGAGGAGCUUAUAGGCAAAGUGGAGUGGAAGAAGAGAUGGGCUCUAUUUUAGCUAAGUUUACUUUUAUGUUCUCUUUUGGCUAAUGGCACAGAAGUAAAAUGGUCUAUAAAUGAAGACUUCUUGAAUAUUCACUAGUCUAACAAGUAUAUAUUUAAAAAAUAAACAUGUCAUUUACAUGUGUUUUGUGAAAAAGGAUUUGCUCUGUUACUUAGCUGUAGUGUACUUAUCUUCUCUGUGCUACUCUGAUACAAAUAAAUUGUAUUUUCCUGUUUCUCUUUUCAGACAGAUUGAAUAUGGAGCUUUCCAUAAUAACUUGUGCUGGGCAAAGUCAGGGUUCUGUUGUUUUUGUUCUGUUAGUUUUCUUUCUUUCUGUUUUUUUUUCCCCCCGAAAAGUACUCUAGAAUUUAAUCAAAUACAGAAGUCAUUCAAAUGCCUCCAUUCUUGCUGUAGCAAGUUUGCACUGGUUAACACUUAGGGCUUUAUUUAGUUGCCCAUACAUCAUUUCUAGUGCCAUUUGAGAUGCCCAAGAGUAUUUGUCCCUGCUCCCAGCUGCUGCUGCAGAACAGGAUCAGUUUACAAAAGUUCUUUGCCAUGCCUGCACAGAGCUGAUAGAUACUUUGCAAGUCUGAAGGCUUCUAAGGCUAACACUUCUCCACAAAUGUCAUUUGAAUUGGUGUGCCCAGUCACGUAAGGAGUUCCUCAAAUUUUGUCUGGUCCUGAGUCCCAUAAAACCUCUUGUCUUUGGAGGAGGUUGUCACAGAGUCGCUGUUUACAUCCUGCAUUAUAUCCGAAUCUAGUUCUGGGUAUGUAGAUCAUUGUAGUAGCUACUUGUGUUUCAUUUUGUUUUCCUAUCAUUGAGGAUGAUUUUCCAAAAGGACAGACCUAUUAAAUUUUAAUCAUUUUUCAUUUUUCUUUCUUUUUCCUUUUUUUCCUUUUUUCUCCCUAAAGCUUUCAGUGAACUGUGAUGAAAAUGUGAAAUUUCUAUAGAGCCAUGAUUUUUUUUAGUGAUGGUGGGAACUUUCCAUCAUUUUUCCAGUGUAAAUAGAGACUGACUCAUAAUUUUCAGGGAAUAGUUAGUAAAAGAUUAGAUUACUUCUGAUUUUUGGUUAAAUUAAUCACAGCUGAGUGGUACACCACUUGAAAUAUGUUGCUCUUGUCUAGAUAAUUGGCUGUCUUCACCUUUCUUCAGCAAAGACCAAGUGUUCUAUUUAAAUCACUCCUAAAACAGAAUCGGAAAUAAAUACUUUUUCUUUCUUUUUUUUUUUUUUUUAUUUUAGAUGGAAGUUAUUGGGCAAAACAGCUGUAACAUUGUGUAAAAGCUAAUUUCAUAAACUUAGGAACAUUGGUGCUCAAGUGCUCAAACUGAGUGUGCAUAGUAUGUGAGACCUCUGGAGGUACAAAGAUCAGAAAAUUAAUGGCAGCAGUAGCUGCUAACAUGGAAAAAAAAAGUCAUGAGUAGAAAAACAGUAAACUGAAAGUCCUUUAUCCUCCUUUCCACUCCUCAGUUCUCAGAGUUUUGUCUGGCAAGAAAAGCAGGGAAUCUGUCUGACUUUCAAAUAAUUACUGAUGUAUUACUCUGUUGGAGGCUAGUAGCAAAGAGCAGCUGUGCCCUGUAGACAGAGCCAAAUUCUCCCUUUCCCCAUCCCCCAUUUCUGACUGCCUUCCCUGGAGAAAGCAAUCUCACUGUUAAAUAAACUAGGGUUGGGUUGCAAGACAAACCAAGAGUUCAUUGGGAAAAUCAUUACUCAUGUGUAAAGAAGCCCUUUUUAAAAACUUUGCUGCUUAGGAAAUGAUGCGAUUUCGUGGGUAAUAAAUAAAAACAGAUUUGUUGUACUACAGUUGUAAAGCUGUCAUCUUUUAUGAGCCUGGGAAGAGUGACCUUUUUCAUAAGGCUUUGUCAAUUCUGUCUCUAUGCAACUUUUCUUCAUACAUGUGAGUCACUGAGCUGUGCUCAGCUGAGAGGUCUAGUCCCUAAAAGAUAAGGGAGUUAAUUAUAGUUCUUGGCUUUUUGACAAACUGCGUCUCUCUUUCCCACAUUUCCUACCAGUUUUAACUGAAAAUUAUCAUUUCUUGUGUGGCAAAAUAGUGGUAUUGUGGUUAAAAACAGUAGUUUAAGAAAUCAAUACCAAACCAUUUCCAUUUAUAUUGAGCCUGAAUCCCAGUAACGGAAAUGUUCUUCAAUAUCCUUAUCUUUAAAUUGUGUCCUGACUGUAAAAAUAAAAAUAAAGAGAAAAAAAAAAAAAAGAAGCUGACAUUUAGGGUGAAUAAAAAUCUCACUUGCUGAUCACUUGGAUUCAGUAACCCCUCUCUGGAAAACUGGAUUGAUUAAUUAUGUAAUAAUCUAGAAACCUUCAGGUGAGAAAGUAUUUAAUAAAGGUGAAAACGGCAUUUCCACUUACAAAGAGAGGAAACAAAAAUCCAGAAGAAGGUGAAGAGUGUGAAAUAUCUGUCUCUGAGCUAGCAAGUGUUCUUGCAACCUGAAUCCUGUGCAGUGAGAUUAGAUGCUUAUAUUUGAGGGGUUUAGUUCUCACUUCUCAAAAAGAGCAUGCUCCUCCCCAAACGAUGAUUUAACAAAGCAAUUGUGGCACCACAUUUUCUUCUGAGAUUGGUGCCUGGUGUUUCAGUUCUUUGGGAAAGGGAUUGAAAAAAACUAAACAGCCUAUGUAAUCAGAAAUGGUUUCUAUUUCAGCUUGCAUCAUAUGAAAGGAGCCAUCUUGUGGUUGUCUCCUUUACCAAUAAAAUGUUGCUCUAAGAUUGCCUUCUAAAGCUGAAAUAAAACAUGUUUCUACACCUCUGUGAUGAUUUUUCUUCUGUUGUUUAGAAAUGUAACAUCCCGAGUAACACUUGACCUUACAAAUAUUUUUACUCAG